UCUGCACUGUCAUAGCAAUGUUGUUAUGAUGUAGUUUUCAGCAAAUAGUGAAUAGGCCCGCUGGCAACCCCAUCUGCACUGCAGUAAGAGGCUACGGAAUGCUUUUUUGGGGGGUGCAACACCCAUCGCCAUUUUUUUUACAAUACCACUCCACCAGGAAAAAUGUCUAAUUGUUUGCCUGUCUAUUUAUUCAUUCUUUUUUCUUUUCUUUUGUACAAGGCAAGUUGCAGGAAGCAGCUGAAGUAAAGGAAGCCAAGAGCAUCCUCAUUCACAUCAAGGACAGAGACUGUGUGGCUCUGGAGGUGCAGUACCACAGAAGUUGCUACAGAGAGUACACAAGGUUUUUGAGUGAGCCUGUCAGAGCAGAGAAAGAACAGAUUGGGCCAACAUUUGAUCUGAGCUACAAGUUAUUCUGCGAGAGGGUAAUUCGCUAAAGGCUACUGAUCAACCAAGAGGUGCUGAGGAUGAGCCAACUGAGGAAGGCCUUUAUUGCCCUUGUGCAGUCAAGUGAAGGUGUUGAUGCUUCAACCUACAGACAGGAUAUAUUGAAGAAGAGGCUCAGUCGUGAUUUUCCUCAGCUAGUGUUCCACACCCCCGCCAAACGCAACACAUCUGAACUGGUUUUUGCUGAGAACUUGUCGACGAAUGCAGUCUUGGACUUGUUACCAUCAGGUGCGGAGACGACUCAGUCCAGCGAAAUGAGCCAGACAGACAGCGACACGGAAAGGAGGAAGUCAAAGCAACCAACCACAGCAGAGGAGAGGCUUUGAAGAGGCUGCUUAGUCACAGUCCUGGCAUGUCAUGCCCAUGGCCCCCAACUGCAGUAAACUUCAAUCUCACUGAAGUCAUUUGCUGUGGCAUGCGCAAAAGAUGUGUACCUGGAUGCUUUCACACAGUUCAUGAAAAUGCCGGUUCAUGUGUAUGCCACUUGUUUUGAUUUUUUUAUUUGUUGU